rnacentral:lncRNA from 1 species
CUCCUCCAGGGGAUCUUCCUGACCCAGGAAUCAAACCGGGGUCUCCUGCAAUGUAGGAGCUGCCAGGGAAGCCCCUAAUCAGCUAUGCUCCAAUACAAAUUAAAAAGUUUAAAAAAAAAAUAAAGUUGCUCUGAAAUAUGUGUAAACUUGAAAGGUGCCAGGGAGCGUAUGAGUCACUAAGAUUAUCCUUGACCACUCCUUUGAAGUGGAAAAGGCUUCGUGUGGCACACUGGUGGAAGGAAAAACUUACCCUUAGGGCUUCCCUGCUCUUCACACGCCCUGGAUUGUAGCAGCAGCAGAAGCUGAGCUGGAAGUUGGUGUUUAUUUCUCCACUCACAGGUAGUGUGAAGCUUGU